CCUACGGGAGGCAGCAGUGGGGAAUAUUGCGCAAUGGGGGAAACCCUGAUGCAGCGACGCCGCGUGAGGGAAGAAGUAUUUCGGUAUGUAAAGCUCUAUCAGCAGGGAAGAAAAGGACGGGACAUGAUUAGAAAACGCCGGCUAACUACGUGCCAGCAGCCGCGGUAAUACGUAGGGGGCAAAAGUUAUCCGGAUUUACUGGGUGUGAAGGGGGCGUAGACGGGAGCACAAGUCUGGAGUGAAAUGCCGGGGCUUAACCCCCGAACUGCUUUGGAAACUGUGCAGCUAGAGUGUAGGAGAGGUAAGUGGAAUUCCUAGUGUAGCGGUGAAAUGCGUAGAUAUUAGGAGGAACACCAGUGGCGAAGGCGGCUUACUGGACUGUAACUGACGGUGAGGCGCGAAAGCGUGGGGAGCAAACAGGAUUAGAUACCCCUGUAGUC
rnacentral:rRNA from 1 species